rnacentral:RNase_P_RNA from 1 species
ACUACAAGCCGAACUAUCGCGGUCACGCCGAAGGCGUGAUUGAGGAAAGUCCGGACAGCAUAGAGCAAUGUACCGGUUAAGAGCCGGGUCCGCCGAAGCUUUAGCAAAGGCGGAACAGACAGUGCCACAGAAAAUGACCGCCAUGAAAAUGGUAAGGGUGAAAAUGUGAGGUAAAAGCUCACGGUUCCUUUUGGUAACAUUGGGAACGGGUAAACCUUGCAUGCUGAAAUGCCAUGUAUACCAGUCGUUGAGGGCGGCUCGUCCGAUCACGCCUACGGCGUGACGACUGGGUGGGUAGGCAGAUAGAUCGUUCCAGUAAUGGCACGGCGAGAUAAAUGAUAGUUUAGAAACAAAAUCCGGCUUACGAGUUUGUAGUAAUU